rnacentral:rRNA from 1 species
AUACGGAGGAUGCAAGCGUUAUCCGGAUUUAUUGGGUUUAAAGGGUGCGCAGGCGGCCAUUUAAGUCAGCGGUUAAAUCGUGGGGCUCAACCCCAUUCUGCCGUUGAUACUGGGUGGCUUGAUUGCGGUCGAGGUUGGCGGAAUUCGUUGUGUAGCGGUGAAAUGCAUAGAUAUGACGAAGAACACCGAUUGCGUAGGCAGCUGACCAGACCGCAAAUGACGCUCAUGCACGAAAGUGCGGGGAUCGAACAGGAUUAGAUACCCUGGUAGUCCGCACAGUAAACGAUGAAUACUUGUUUUCGGCGAUAUAAUGUCGGAGGCAAAGCGAAAGCGAUAAGUAUUCCACCUGGGGAGUACGCCGGCAACGGUGAAACUCAAAUGAAUUGGCGGGG